GAUGAACGCUAGCGGCGGGCCUAAUACAUGCAAGUCGAACGGGAUCAGGGAGCUUGCUCCCUGUGAGAGUGGCGCACGGGUGCGUAACACGUAUGCAACCUACCUUCAACUGGGGGAUAGCCUUCCGAAAGGAAGAUUAAUACCGCAUAACAUAAUUGAAUGGCAUCAUUUGAUUAUCAAACGUCAGGGUUGAAGAUGGGCAUGCGUCCGAUUAGCUAGUUGGUGUGGUAACGGCACACCAAGGCGACGAUCGGUAGGGGAUCUGAGAGGAUGACCCCCCACACUGGUACUGAGACACGGACCAGACUCCUACGGGAGGCAGCAGUAAGGAAUAUUGGUCAAUGGACGCAAGUCUGAACCAGCCAUGCCGCGUGCAGGAAGACGGUCCUCUGGAUUGUAAACUGCUUUUGUUAGGGAAGAAACCCUCGGAUGCGUCCGGGGCUGACGGUACCUAAAGAAUAAGGAUCGGCUAACUCCGUGCCAGCCGCCGCAGUAAUAC
rnacentral:rRNA from 1 species